rnacentral:rRNA from 1 species
GACGAACGCUGGCGGCGUGCCUAAUACAUGCAAGUUGAGCGCUGAAGGUUGGUACUUGUACCAACUGGAUGAGCAGCGAACGGGUGAGUAACGCGUGGGGAAUCUGCCUUUGAGCGGGGGACAACAUUUGGAAACGAAUGCUAAUACCGCAUAAAAACUUUAAACACAAGUUUUAAGUUUGAAAGAUGCAAUUGCAUCACUCAAAGAUGAUCCCGCGUUGUAUUAGCUAGUUGGUGAGGUAAAGGCUCACCAAGGCGAUGAUACAUAGCCGACCUGAGGGGGGGCUCCGCCCCUUUGGGCCUGGGCCGCGCCCCAACCCCCCCCGGGGGGCCGCAGUGGGAACUCUUCGGAAUUGGCCGAAAUUUUGCCCGACCAACGCCGCGGGGGUGAAGAAGUUUUUCGGCUCGUAAACCCCUUUUGGUGGAAAAGACCGUUGGUGAGGGUGGAAAGCCCAUCAGGUGCCGGACCCCCCCCAAAAAGGGACGGCACCCUCCG